rnacentral:rRNA from 1 species
AUUGAACGCUGGCGGCGUGCUUAACACAUGCAAGUCGAUCGGUAACAGGUGUAGCAAUACAUGCUGACGAGAGGCGGACGGGUGAGGAACGCUUGGGAAUCUGCCCAUCAGCGGGGGACAACCCGGGGAAACCCGGGCUAAUACCGCAUACGCCCUACGGGGGAAAGCAGGGGAUCUUCGGACCUUGCACUAUUGGAUGAGCCUAAGUCGGAUUAGCUAGUUGGUAGGGUAAAGGCCUACCAAGGCGACGAUCCGUAGCUGGUCUGAGAGGACGAUCAGCCACACUGGGACUGAGACACGGCCCAGACUCCUACGGGUGGCUG